CAGGCUGCAGGCUCUGAGCUGUCAGCACAGAGCCCAACAUGGGGCUUGAACUCACAAACUGUGAGAUCAUGACCUGAGCUAAAGUCAGAUGCUUAACCGAAUGAGCUACCUAGGCACCCCUCAAAAAUCAAUGUUCUUUUAACAUCUCGCUACCCCAUUUGAUGGUAAGGAUUUUAUCAUGCUUUUAAUUUUGUAUUUCUUACAGAACCUUGGACAGUACUGGACUUGUAAGAGAUGCUGUACCUAUAUGUACCAAUUGCCUGCUUUGGUACUAUAGGCUUAUAUUUUUCCCGACAGAGCAUGAGCAGGGGACGGGCAGAAAGAGAGGGAGACACAGAAUCCCAAGCAGGCUCCAGGCUCUGAGUUGUCAGCACAGAGCCUGAUGUGGGGCUCGAACUCACAGACUGUGACAUCAUGGACCUGAGCUGAAGUCAGAUGCUUAACCGACUGAGCCACCCAGGUGCCCCCCUUUCUUUUUAAUUUUUUUUAAUGUUUGUUUAUUUUUGAGAGAGAGAGAGAGAGACAGAACGUGAGCAGGUGAGGGGCAGAGAGAUGGAGACACAGAAUCUAAAGUAGGCUCCAGGCUCUGAGCUGUCAGCACAGAGCCUGACUCAGGGCUGGAACCCACGAACUGUGAGAUCAUGACCUGAGUGAAGUUGGGUGCUUAACCGACUGAGCCACCCAGCUGCCCCUGAAAUAAAUAUUUUUUAAUGGAUUUUUUUUGGCUAUUCCAGAUCCUCUGCAUUUUAUUUUUUGAAACUAGAAUCAAAAACCUCCUGGGUUAUUGAUUCUCAUUGCAUUGAAUCUUUAAGUCAAUUUGCAAAGAAAUUAUAUCUUAUGUUGAGUCAUGUAAUUUAUGACUAUAAAUAUAACUCCAUAAAUGUAGUUAUUUGUUCAAGUUGUCUAAAAGUUUUUUGGUUAGCGUUCACUAUGGAAGUCUUGAAAAUUGUUCUAUGGUAUAUUUUUAUAGAUAGUAAUCUCCUUUAAAUUCUUUUUCUAACUGGGGUGCCUGGGUGUCUCAGUCAUUGAGCAUCCGACUUCAGCUCAGGUCAUGAUCUCACGGUCUGUGAGUUUGAGCCCCGCAUGGGGCUCUGUGCUCACACCGCAGAGCCUGGAGCCUGCUUUGGAUUCUGUGUCUCCCUCUCUCUCUGCCCCUCUCCCACUCAUGCUCUGUCUCUCUCUGUGAAAAAUAAACAUUAAAAAAAAUUAAAUUCAUUUUCUAAUAGAUGUUUCUGGUAUCUAAGUACAAUUGAUUUUUGUAUAUUGUUCUUGACCUUUUCAAAUUCACUUAAUUGUUCCAACAAAUGGCUUGUAUGCUCUUUUAGAUUUGCUGUGUAUAUAAUUAUGUCACAUGCAGAUAAAGACAAUUUGAUUUCCUGCUUUCAUCUAUUUAUCUAUCUAAUAUAUAUCAAUUAGUUCCUCUAAGAUGACAAUGUAUAGAAGAGAUGAGGGCCUACACACACACACACACACACACACACACACACACACAUACUGUAUGAAUACUAUUCGCUUAUUGAAGAAGUUUUUUUCUAUUAUGAGUGGAAUGAAUAUUUUUUAAUUUUUUUCAAACGUCAUUGAACAUGUUUUGAAGUCCACAGAGAAAAUUAUAUAGUUUUUUUACUUAAUGCUUUUAAUUGGAAUGAUAGAUAUAUAUAUUUUUUAAUUUAUUUAUUUAUUUUGAGAGAAAGAGCAUAGAUGAGAGACAGAGAGAGGGAAAGAGAGAAUCCCAAGCAGGGCUCCAUCCUAUGAACUGUGAGUUCAUGACCUGAGCCAAGACAAAGAGCUGGAAGUUCAACCAACUGAGCUACCCAGGCACCUCUGUAAUGAUAGAUUUUUGAAUGUUAUAAGUAUCUUUCAUCCCUAAGCUAAAUCUGUCUUGGUCAUAAUAUAUAUAUUUGUUUAAUUUGUUUCUUUCCUUCUUUCUUUCUUCUUUCUUUCUUUCUUUCUUUCUUUCUUUCUUUCUUUCUUAUUCUUUUUUAAAUUUUAAUUCCAGUGUAGUUAACAAACAGUGUUAUAUUGGUUCAGGUGUACAAUAUAGUGAUUUAACAAUUCCAUAUAUCACUCAGUGCUUAUCAAGAAUAAGUGUAUUCUCAUGAUAUAUUGUUCUUAUUAUAUAUUGCUAGAUUUCAUCUGCUGAUGUUUUGUUAAUUAUUUAAAAUUUUAUGUCCUGGAGGGAUAUUGGUUUCUAGUUGUUUUUUUUCUAGUUUUCUUUCUUUCUUUCUUUCUUUCUUUCUUUCUUUCUUUCUUUCUUUCUUUCUUUUUCUUUUUGGUAAUGUCCUUGCCAGAUUUUGAUAUCAAGAUACAUAGGCUUUUUUAAAAAAAUAAUCCUUUUUUUUACAUUCUCUGAAGGAGUUUGGGUAAAAUUGAUGUUAUUUUGCUUUAAUUUUUUAUAGAAUAUACUAAUUAAACAAUGUGGGCCUAAGGGUUUAUUUUAUGGAGAAGUUUCAAAUUACUUUAUUUCACAAACAUAGGACUAUUCUAAUUUUCCAUAUGAUGUUAGGUCAGUUUGAAAGUUCUGUUUUUCCUCAAAGUUGCUGUAUCUGGAUCAGCAAGAGGCAAAAAAGGAAACCUGGACCCUCCUUCUCCGCACAGACAUGCUGAUUCAACAACAUGGACCAAUUUCUUUUGUUAGAAAUCCAGAAACCUGUUGAAAGGCUCUUGCCACUGAGAUGAUAGGGACAAAAGCCAAAAUGAAUAAAAUGACACCUUACUCAUAAUCUCUUCCCCCUACUCCGUGCCACACAAUCAUGAGAAAAACCAGAACUCCCAGCUUCUCCCUAAGAAGGGAAGGAGAGGACUGGACCAUAUGUCCAAAGUUCAGACUAUUUAGGGGGCUGCCCAAGGUACCAAUUACUGUACUGAGUACGAGCACUGAUUGGAAAAGGGCCCAGGUCUGGGAACCCUGAGAAUAUAGUCCGCGGUUUGAACUAGCACGCUCUAUUAGCCAAAGUGCUUCCCCUGGUUCAGCACUGAGCAAGCGAGAACACCCAAAUCCUUCCUUCUCCCUGGAAAGAGUCCAAGCAUGCAAGAGGGAAAGAGAAAAAUAAAACAUAUAUCUAACAUUCAGACUUUUCAGGGAGCUCCCCAAGGGACUGGUUUUUGUCUUGCCUGUCUCUAAGUACGGACAGGAUAUAGUACACUCUGGAUGCCUGGGGACCAGCAUAUGCUGCUUCUUCACAGGAACUACAAGAUAACAGACACCAGAGGGAGCAAGAUAUCAUAAACUCCUGAAAAAAUAAACCAACAAAUUCUUAUAAUUAUGAAUUUACAUGGACAAGUUUGGAGAAAAGACACAUCCACCAAAAACUUUUGAGAGGCCCACCAGAAUCUCUAGCUAGGGUAAUUGGUGAAGGUCUUCCCAUAUAUGAAGCCAGUCCAUAGAAACUAAGAAAAAGCGCUGUUUUUUCAAAUAUGCAGAUACCCACACUGUUGAGGGCAUUAAACACACACACACACAUACACAGGAAACAAAAGAAAACACCAAAAGAAAAAGGGGUUUCAUUACCUAAUAAAGAAUUCAAAUUAUGAUCAUAAAGAUAAUUUGUAAGUUCCGGAAAACAAUUUAUGAAUAAGUUAGAAAUUUCCAAAUAAAGAUAGAAAAAAAUACAGAAAUUUUGGAGCUGAAAAAGAAAAUAGCCAGACUGAAUAAUUCACUAGAAAAGUGUAAUAAUAGACUUUAUCAACUAGAAGAGAGAGUCAGCAAACUUGAAGACAGGAAGAACAUUUGAAAUUAUCCUAUCACAGAAGCAAAAACAAAAAAAGAAUGAAAAGGUGUGAAGAAAGCCUAAGGGACUUCUGUGUCCUCAUCAAAUAAAUCAAUACAUGCACUAUGGGAGUCCUAAGAGGGAAGAGAGAGACAGAAAGGACAAGAGAGCUUAUUGAGAAAAAUAAUGACCAAUGCCUUUUCUCUAUUAAGAUGGUCGAUCAUGUGUUGUAUUUCUUUCAUUUUGUUAAUGUGUUGUAUAACAUCAAUUAAUUUGCAUACAUUGAAACAUCUUUGUUCGAAGGAGUAAGUUCCACUCAGACAUGGUGUAUAAUCCUUUUAAUGUGCUGAUGAAUUCAAUUUACUACCAUUUUAUUAAAGACUUUUUCAUUUAUA